AUGAACGCUGGCGGCGUGCCUAAUACAUGCAAGUCGAGCGAACAGAUGAGGAGCUUGCUCCUCUGACGUUAGCGGCGGACGGGUGAGUAACACGUGGAUAACCUACCUAUAAGACUGGGAUAACUUCGGGAAACCGGAGCUAAUACCGGAUAAUAUAUUGAACCGCAUGGUUCAAUAGUGAAAGACGGUUUUGCUGUCACUUAUAGAUGGAUCCGCGCCGCAUUAGCUAGUUGGUAAGGUAACGGCUUACCAAGGCAACGAUGCGUAGCCGACCUGAGAGGGUGAUCGGCCACACUGGAACUGAGACACGGUCCAGACUCCUAAGGGAGGCAGCAGUAGGGAAUCUUCCGCAAUGGGCGAAAGCCUGACGGAGCAACGCCGCGUGAGUGAUGAAGGUCUUCGGAUCGUAAAACUCUGUUAUUAGGGAAGAACAAAUGUGUAAGUAACUAUGCACGUCUUGACGGUACCUAAUCAGAAAGCCACGGCUAACUACGUG
rnacentral:rRNA from 1 species